rnacentral:rRNA from 1 species
UUCGUCACACUAUCAUUAACUGAAUCCAUAGGUUAAUGAGGCGAACCGGGGGAACUGAAACAUCUAAGUACCCCGAGGAAAAGAAAUCAACCGAGAUUCCCCCAGUAGCGGCGAGCGAACGGGGAGCAGCCCAGAGCCUGAAUCAGUGUGUGUGUUAGUGGAAGCGUCUGGAAAGGCGCGCGAUACAGGGUGACAGCCCCGUACACAAAAAUGCACAUACUGUGAGCUCGAUGAGUAGGGCGGGACACGUGGUAUCCUGUCUGAAUAUGGGGGGACCAUCCUCCAAGGCUAAAUACUCCUGACUGACCGAUAGUGAACCAGUACCGUGAGGGAAAGGCGAAAAGAACCCCGGCGAGGGGAGUGAAAAAGAACCUGAAACCGUGUACGUACAAGCAGUGGGAGCACGCUUAGGCGUGUGACUGCGUACCUUUUGUAUAAUGGGUCAGCGACUUAUAUUCUGUAGCAAGGUUAACCGAAUAGGGGAGCCGAAGGGAAACCGAGUCUUAACUGGGCGUUAAGUUGCAGGGUAUAGACCCGAAACCCGGUGAUCUAGCCAUGGGCAGGUUGAAGGUUGGGUAACACUAACUGGAGGACCGAACCGACUAAUGUUGAAAAAUUAGCGGAUGACUUGUGGCUGGGGGUGAAAGGCCAAUCAAACCGGGAGAUAGCUGGUUCUCCCCGAAAGCUAUUUAGGUAGCGCCUCGUGAAUUCAUCUCCGGGGGUAGAGCACUGUUUCGGCAAGGGGGUCAUCCCGACUUACCAACCCGAUGCAAACUGCGAAUACCGGAGAAUGUUAUCACGGGAGACACACGGCGGGUGCUAACGUCCGUCGUGAAGAGGGAAACAACCCAGACCGCCAGCUAAGGUCCCAAAGUCAUGGUUAAGUGGGAAACGAUGUGGGAAGGCCCAGACAGCCAGGAUGUUGGCUUAGAAGCAGCCAUCAUUUAAAGAAAGCGUAAUAGCUCACUGGUCGAGUCGGCCUGCGCGGAAGAUGUAACGGGGCU